CGCCUCACUUGUAUGAAAACCUCUUCCUGUUAACAUCAGCACACAUUUUACUUUCUCCAGUGAUUGUUGCCAGAGAUACGCAGCAUCGAUAAUGACAGAUCCAUCUGUGUUCUUUAGGAGAGCUUCUUGGAUUUCAGUUCGUCUCUGUUCAGUGUUGGGUUCCGCUAAAAGAUCGGUGAGCGUCGCUUCGACGACACCAAGAAUCUCCUCAGGUUCUGGAUGAAGAUCUAGAGCGGUGUCUAAAACUGCCGUUAGUGUUUUUAAGACCUUCUUUGUUCAGAUCUUUUCACGUCUGUCUGUAAAACUAUCUGGCAGUAAAACAAAGGGGCUCCAUAUAGACGACUCUUCCGUCUCUGUCUCCAUGUUUAAUGUGACAGAGCUGAUUCCCGCAUCCUCCUCUUCUGCUUCUUGUGUCGGGAAUGUGAGCUUUAGUUUGUUGCUGUCAGACAUCCGGCCUGGAUUUUAUUUGUCCUCGUCACUAAUGAAUCCCCUUCUUGUUGACUCCUCAUCUUGUGCUGUAGUCACCUUGUUCCAGUUUCUGCAGACAGCUGUAUCUGAUGGUGGAGACUUGACAGCAGAUGGUUGAUGGUCCAAUGCUGCAGCAUCCAUGACUGAGAGGUUUGGAGGAAGUCCAACAUGUUGCUGCUUAUCUGACAGAUGGAAACAUGCUGACAUCAACAUAUGGGCCUAGGAUGGAGAAAAGUCCUGAGGAGAGCGAGAGCCUGUAAAAGCUCAUCAGGUGAGGAACAACACUUUCAAAGUAAAGGUCCGGAUGAAGGAAAGAAGUCUGGACUUUCACAACUCUUCUGAUAACUUUUGCUCCAAGUCUCAUUUUUCUUCUUUGUCCUCAUCAAAACAAAGAUGGCAGCUGGGCAGCUCCUUACUCAAUGUGGAAGACAUGAACCAAGAUCAGAAAGUUAGAUUUCUCUCUUAAUGUUCCUGUCGGCUCUUUUCUUUCCACACAACAACAUGUUUACUGUUUAUUGUUUAUUUGUUUCAUGUAAAAUAAACAAAGAGA